AAGCAAUACGCAUACUCUCUCGCACUCAACAAACGAAAGCCAAGAAACUGCGGAGCCGUGCACUAUAAAUGCGAGUGCGAAGCAGUUUCUCUGCAGAAUAGGAGAAAAACACACUAGAGAGACACCCCGUCUGCAAACUCUCUCUUCGCUUACCUCUUCAAAGUCUAAAAUUCUCAUUGAUUUUAAUUUGCUCGAGCAGGCAUAAUGAUUAAAUUGUUCAAGGUAAAGGAAAAUCAGAGGGAAACUCAGAGUGCAGAUGGGAAGCCUCCAGUCAAGAAGCAAAGUUCUGGGGAAUUACGUCUUCAGAAAGGUAAUUCUUGGUUUGAUAUACUCGGUUAUAACAGCAUCAUGAAUGACACAAAAUUAGGCACAAUUCACACACUUUGACAAGAGUUUGAGGGAGCUGAAAAUGCAAGAACAGGACCAAAGUGCACGAUACAAUCUACUAGAUCAAGGCUGGAACUACUGAAGGAAUGUGCUUAUUUCCUCAGCCCAUUCUUCUGUCCACUAUUUUAUGGGCACUUGGUUCCAUCUUUGGCUAGAAAGAUCAAGGCUGGAACUACUGAAGGAAUGUGCUUAUUUCCUCAGCCCAUUCUUCUGUCCACUAUUUUAUGGGCACUUGGUUCCAUCUUUGGCUAGAAAGUACAGAACGGCUGCAGGAAAGUUUUCUAUAUGAGAGAUUAUACAUGAAUAUUUCUAUUUCCUCUUAAUUCAUAUCUGUAUGUUUACCCUUUGGCUUGCAGAUAUAACUGAGCUGAACCUACCGAAAUCAUGUUGCAUAUCCUUCCCCGAUGGAAAGGACAGCCUGAUGAACUUCGAGGUCACCAUUAAGCCUGGAGAAGGAUAUUACAAGUAAUUUGAAAAACCCUUACACCUGUGCUCAAAAUCUCUGGCUCAUUCCCUUACCUAUGGAAUUGCCUUUUUCUUCAAAAACUCUCUUUUUACCUUGUCAUAGGGGUGGCAAAUUUGUGUUCUCAUUUCAAGUUUCACCUCUCUAUCCUCAUGACGCGCCAUAAGGUCAAAUGCAAGACGAAGGAAUGGAUGCGAUGUCUACCAUCCUAAUAUUGAUCUGGAAGGCAAUGUGUGCCUAAAUAUUCUUCGAGAAGACUGGACACCUAUCCUAAAUAUAAACAUCAUCAUCUAUGGAUUGUUUAACC